rnacentral:lncRNA from 1 species
UGGAGUAAUUAGGUUGUCAUCUUUCUUCAAAUAAAAGGAUUUAGUGGCACCCAAGAAAAGCUUUUUAAUUUUUUUUUUAAAAAAGAACACAAGAAAUGGGACAAAUGGUUGUUUAUGGUUGCAAAUUUUUGUUUAAUUUUGGUGUCUUGGUAAUUUAGCAUAAAUUGGUAUUAUGAAGCCUAAUUAUGAGAUAAAUUGAUAAUUUG